AACGCACGAGACCUGCGGACCUGCGGAGGGAUCAUUAGUGAACGCCCUCACGGGCUUAUAACUAUUCCAAACCUCUGUGAACCGUGCCCUUCGGGGCUAUUUUACAAACAUGGUGUGAUGAACGUCAUAUAUCAUAACAAAACAAAACUUUCAACAAUGGAUCUCU
rnacentral:misc_RNA from 1 species